ACAGAUAUAGCUCAGUGGUAGAGCGCAUGCUUAGUGUGCAUGAGGUCCUGGGCUCAAUCCCUAGUACCUCGG
rnacentral:tRNA from 1 species